rnacentral:rRNA from 1 species
AGUGAACGCUGGCGGUAGGCCUAACACAUGCAAGUCGAACGGCAGCACAGUAAGAGCUUGCUCUUACGGGUGGCGAGUGGCGGACGGGUGCGGAAUACAUCGGAAUCUACUUUUUCGCGGGGGAUAACGUAGGGAAACUUACGCUAAUACCGCAUACGACCUACGGGUGAAAGCAGGGGAUCUUCGGACCUUGCGCGAUUGAAUGAGCCGAUGUCGGAUUAGCUAGUUGGCGGGGUAAAGGCCCACCAAGGCGACGAUCCGUAGCUGGUCUGAGAGGAUGAUCAGCCACACUGGAACUGAGACACGGUCCAGACUCCUACGGGAGGCAGCAGUGGGGAAUAUUGGACAAUGGGCGCAAGCCUGAUCCAGCCAUACCGCGUGGGUGAAGAAGGCCUUCGGGUUGUAAAGCCCUUUUGUUGGGAAAGAAAAGCAGCAGGUUAAUACCCCGCUGUGCUGACGGUACCCAAAGAAUAAGCACCGGCUAACUUCGUG